rnacentral:rRNA from 1 species
CCUACGGGAGGCAGCAGUGGGGAAUCUUGCGCAAUGGGCGAAAGCCUGACGCAGCAACGCCGCGUGCGGGAAGAAGGCCUUCGGGUUGUAAACCGCUUUCAGCAGGAACGAAAAUGACGGUACCUGCAGGAGAAGGUGCGGCCAACUAUGUGCCAGCAGCCGCGGUGAUACAUAGGCACCAAGCGUUGUCCGGAUUUAUUGGGCGUAAAGAGCUCGUAGGCGGUUCAGUCAGUCGGGUGUGAAAACUCUGGGCUUAACCCAGAGCCUGCACCCGAUACUGCUGUGACUAGAGUUCGGUAGGGGAGCGGGGAAUUCCUGGUGUAGCGGUGAAAUGCGCAGAUAUCAGGAGGAACACCGAUGGCGAAGGCACCGCUCUGGGCCGAAACUGACGCUGAGGAGCGAAAGCAUGGGUAGCAAACAGGAUUAGAUACCCUGGUAGUCCAUGCCGUAAACGUUGGGCACUAGGUGUGGGUUCCAAUCAACGGAAUCCGCGCCGUCGCUAACGCAUUAAGUGCCCCGCCUGGGGAUACGGUCGCAAGACUAAAACUUAAAGGAAUUGACGG